GGCAAGGGCCCGGGCCGAGCCCUGCCGGGCCAGCGGGGCGUGUGGCAGGGAGCUGUGCCGCUGGCGCCGUGACAGGCUCUGUGUUCACAGGGAUCGCCGGGCGGCACCUGAAGGGGAAGACUGAAGAGCUCCAGCUGAUCUGUGAGGCCCUUGAAGAAAUGGUAUAUGACAUCAGCCUCGGUGUCAGAUGCCUGGCAAUUCAGACUUUGCAUAUUCUCAGGGCAAGACACAGAGUACGAUAUUCCACCUUACAGAACCUGCAAGAUCAGCUUCACAGGGUGUGGAAGACACGGCUUCGUCUUUCGGGGCUCGGGUGCCUGGUCUGCUGGAGCUCUGCGAAGAGCUGAUGCCAAAGGCUCUGUCUGCAGGGACCACCUGUGCCAGCAGCAAUUUUCAGUUUCUUCAACAUUGUUCUUUUCUUCUUUUUGUUUUUCUUUAGUAUAUACAUACAGGAUGUAUUAUAA